GUAGGCGGCUUAUUAAGCGAGUAGUGAAAUCUGGUGGCUCAACCAUCAACCCAUUGCUCGAACUGAUAGGCUUGAGAAUGGUAGAGGUAGCUGGAAUUUCUUGUGUAGGAGUGAAAUCCGUAGAUAUAAGAAGGAACACCAAUGGCGUAGGCAGGCUACUGGACCAUUUCUGACGCUGAGGCACGAAAGCGUGGGGAGCGAACCGGAUUAGAUACCCGGGUAGUCCACGCCGUAAACGAUGGAUGCUAGCUGUGGGGGGUAUCGACCCCCUCCGUAGCGAAGCUAACGCGUUAAGCAUCCCGCCUGUGGAGUACGGCCGCAAGGCUAAGACAUAAAGGAAUUGACGGGGACCCGCACAAGCGGUGGAGCGUGUUCUUUAAUUCGAUGAUAAACGAAGAACCUUACCAAGGCUUGACAUCCCAGGAAUCUUUCCGAAAGGAGAGAGUGCUUUAUUGAACCUGGUGACAGAUCUUGCAUGGCCGUCGUCAGCUCGUGUCGUGAGAUGUUUGGUUAAGUCCAUCAACGAGCGCAACCCCUAUGAUUAGUUGGAUUUUUCUAGUCAGACUGCCCCGGUAACGGGGAGGAAGGGGGGGAUGAUGUCAGGUCAGUAUUAGUCUUACGUCUUGGGCUAGAAACGCGCUACAAUGGCCGGUACAAAGGGCAGCCAACCCGUAAGGGGGAGCAAAUCCCAUCAAAGCCGGUCCCAGUUCAGAUUGGAGGCUGAAACUCGCCUCCAUGAAGUCGGAAUCGCUAGUAAUCGCAAAUCAGCAUGUUGCGGUGAAUACGUUCCCGGGUCUUGUACACACCGCCCGUCAAACCAUGAAAGUGACCAACACCCGAAGUCCGAUUCGUCGGCCUAAGGUGGGGGGCAUGACUGGGGUU
rnacentral:rRNA from 1 species